ACACAGUAACUACCACCAGGAAGAUGUCUUUCAGCACGGGAACGUGACCAAUUCCCUUCCAUUUCUGAGCUAACAAAGACUCAAUCCAAGAUUUCAAAGGUGAUAGAACCUCACAGGCAGGGUGAAUCAAAAGCAAGAGGGGCAGGAAGAAGAGGAAAACCCUGAAAAGCCCAAACUAAGCUGCAAGAACAGUCCACAGCUACUGAAUUCCAGAGGUUUUGGUUCUUUUCACAACUGUCAGCCCUUUGAAACACAUCUGCUAUCAACCCUCUUUGCAAGAUGAGAGGCAAAGUGAGUUCCCAGGAGUAAACCUGGAUCUGUCUCCAUGGUUCAGUGCCUGUCUGACAGUCUGACUUGCUAAGAGAGCCUGGUAAAUAUUAAAGAAUGUUAAUAAUAAUGAGAUAAACCACCUGGGGAUUUUUCCCACCUCUUUUUUUUUUUUUAACUUGGCUCCAUACUAAAGUUUAUCUUGACAGAAUCUGAUCCAGAUUAUUUCCCAAAGCAAUUUUUUCAACAGCAAACAGAAAUCUGUGCCUGCUGCUAAAAGGUUUGCUAAAGAGGCCACUGCAUGUCAAAUGUUUACCUUAAUUUCAUGUAAAUGUCACUCCAUAUUGGACAUUCUGUGUUUCUUUACCAGCAUAUGCAGCUGCCUCCACCUUCAAAAUCCUUCCCCUUGUACCUCAGCUACCUUUACAAACAGCCCAGAACCUGCUGCUCCUGUCAGAUCAAAUUCCCAAACAACAACUAGAUGUCAUGAAUUUAUUAUGUAAUUGAUGUACUCUAAUAAAUUGAAUGUGAAUCCUAUGGCCUGAAAGACAAAGAAAUCAUGGAGACAGUAAAGGAGUAGAAGGAAUACAUCUGACAUACUCUCUAUGGGGAAA